rnacentral:rRNA from 1 species
AUUGAACGCUGGCGGCAGGCCUAACACAUGCAAGUCGAACGAGUGGCGGACGGGUGAGUAAUGUCUGGGAAACUGCCCGAUGGAGGGGGAUAACUACUGGAAACGGUAGAUAAUACCGCAUACCAUCGGAUGUGCCCAGAUGGGAUUAGCUUGUAGGGUAGGUAACGGCUCACCUAGGCGACGAUCCCUAGCUGGGCUGAGAGGAUGACCAGACACACUGGAACUUAGACACGGUCCAGACGCCGAGGGGAGGCAGCAGUGGGGAAUAUUGCACAAUGGGAGCAAGCCUGAUGCAGCCAUGCCGCGUGGAUGAAGAAGGCCUUUGGGUUGUAAAGUACGUUCAGCGGGGAGGCGUUACCCGCAGAAGAAGCACCGGCUAACUCCGUGCCAGCAGCCGCGGUAAUAC